AUACAUCUAUAAACUAUUGUUGACAUUUGGUCAGAUAAAAUUGUACAUUCCCAGAACACACAUACUUAUAUGAUAUGCUGUGUGUGUGUGUGUGUA
rnacentral:miRNA from 1 species